UGUGCCCUCUAUGAAACACAUGUAACCAUCUGCCAGGCCUCCCCAGCUGGUAACCGCUUCAGUCCUGCUCACUGAAUGAAUUGUCCAAUGCCUAUUGAUAUGGACCACCGUUGCUAAUGCUGUUGCCCCAAGAAUUAUAAAGUGAAAUAAAGACAGGCCCUUUAUUUGGAGAUGUAAGCCAGGAGAAGAAAGCCACAGACUGAAUCCCCAUCAUUUCCAUGGAGAGCAAAGGAGUCACUCUGUACAGAACGACUACCAUAGCUGGCAUCAGACUCACUAAGCAAAGCAGAAGAAUCUUGAGUUUCUUAGAGAAAGUCAAAUCAAAGAGGAACGGGCACAACCUGGUCAACUAAAUCAGAUGCCAUGUCUGAUGUUGUCCUUUCCUUCUGUCCUGAUGUAUCUACUUCUGGGACUUUCCAGACUUAUUUCAGAUUCCUUCUGGGUAGUACCCAACCACAAACAUCAGUCGUAAGUUAGUAGCCUGAUUAUGCAUUUAUUCAUUGGGUGUCAGUGCCAUUAUUCUUUGAAGAGAUACUUCCAUCCUGCCCUUCUUAGGAAGUCCUUUGACACAUUAGCAGGUGGAAAGCUUUGGCGUGAAGCACGCAGAAAAUUCCAGGAAUUGUGCAGCUAUAUAGCAGGCCUAUGAGGCAAACCUCUUCAACACAAACACACACCUUCUACUUGGGCUUGAUAGGGUAGCAUAACUAUUGUGCCAAUUUCUGAUAUGUUUCUUCCCUCAAGCCAUAUGAAUGGAGAAAACUAAACUCUGGCAAUGCAGAAGAGCCUUCCACACUCUGCCCAAAGAGACACAGCUUGGUUAAAUACAUUUGAACUCCCUGAAUCCAUCACUAUCACAAGCAGUAUGAUGGCUUUUAAAGCAAGGUCCCUGAACCGGCAGCAGCAUCUCCUUGGGAAAGAUUAACCAGUCAAGGCACACUAAAUCAAACUCUGGGGAUGUGUUUUAACAAACCCUCCAGCGAGUCUGCCGUACAUGUUCGAGAACAAACACUCUUGCCACAUUUAGCCUGUCUAUGACAAAGGCUAGCUAGCUGUCAAAAACCAGACUAGACUGGGAAGGUUCCCAGGACCAGAUCAUUUGGCAGAGUUGCAGGCUGUGAGGGGUUUGAAGCUAAUGGUGCCAGGUCACCAGCCCAGGACUAGAAAAAAUGCAAAAUGGCAUGUUCAGGGUUCUCUGGAUCUAUGAUAUUGUGUGACAAGUGGCAAGCAAACUUGGCAUUUUCUAAACGGGUGAUGAUGUAACAGAGUCAUAACCUGUUUUCCUGGAUCUCUUGCCAGAUUUCUAGGGCUUCAACAUGUAAAAUGUGAAGUACUGUGGAUUUCAUACCCCUACACUGAGUAGCAUACCUCAUGCUCUCUCUUAUAUGAACUGACAAGCACUGUAACUCUUACAUGCUGCAGAUAUUCAUACAGAGAAAAUUCUUCAUCAUUAGUUCUGGUACUAAAAAUGAGGCUGUACCGAGAAAACAAACAGGGACUUGCAUUUUCUCAACCCAAACAUUUUGCCAGAUGCCAUGUUUUGUGUUAAGAGGAAUUAAUAAGAAAAAUCUUACAAACCUAGGUGCACCUGUUUUAUAUAUUCAAUCAAUGAGGCUUUGUUUUUAUUCCAGAAGAAUGGAAGCUUCUCCUCAUGAGGAUAUUUACAGCACGACAGCUCCAAUGUAAUUUCAAAACACUGGGCCCAGAUGUAGUUGUAAUCUUGCAUUCCACCUAAACACAAGCAUAUUUAAUUUUUUAAGGUCUAAAAUUGGAACGGAGUCAAGUAUCCUGUACCUUGGGGACAAAUGAAUCCGUUGCAAAGAAAGUACAUUUAAACAGGAAAAGAUGAAUUUGACAUAUUAGCAUAUAAAGUCACGGCCUGCCAUUUUAUUACCCAGGCAUGAACAGGCAAUCCUAAAUGUUCCCAUAUGGGUAACUGGAUCAGAGCUAAGGUUCAACUGUGCAUCAAAACCAACUGAGGGGCAGGGGAAGGGUCAGCCUUUUUUUUCCCCCCGAUCAUACAUUACAAAAAGGAUUCAUCAAUGUACAUUUCUUCUGUGAAAAUCAUUUUAAACUGAGAGUGAUACUUCUAAAAAAUGUUUUUGCAAACCAUUCAUAAAUACACAUGUAAGCUAAGUAUACUCAUUCGGCGGAAUAAUAGUGGCUGACGUUUAGUGAGUGUUCACUAUUACCGGGCACCGUUUGAAGAGUUUGUCGCCCGUAUUUUACAGAUGGGGAGACAAUCACAUACGGUAAGUAACGUGCCAGUGAAGGCCGAGCCCAGAGCACAGGCUGUCUUGCGGACCCCGUGCUCUUAGGACACCAAACUGCUUCAGGGGAUGAAAGAAAGGCUGCUGUGCUAACUCUCGGGAGAGAAGGGACCCAGGCCCCCUUGCGUCUGGGGCUGCCGUCACCUGUUCUCAGUUUCUGGUUCUUACCUCUGAAAACCCAGUUUUCAAAAGGGUAUAAUCAUAUUUCCUAUCUUCUAAGAUGCAAGAUUUUCAUAUUUUAAAAUCUCUGAAUUGGAUGUGUCCUAAAUUUGAUGGCUAAAAACCAUCAUUGUGGCAUGAGUUUGGCCAGAAACAUUUGUUUUUUCUUCCUUGGUGGUACGGUGUAUUUUCCAACCAGUGGCAUCUUGGAUUUUGAAAUAUGGUAACUUUGAAGGAAGGACUUUCGGCCAGAUUUCAACUUGUUGUACUUGAUAUCUGCCUAUAAAAUAGAUAUUCUCAAUUCCAUCAGGGUAUUUCGGAAGUAAUGAAUUAGAAAAAAACUCAGAAAAUAGUCAAGAUACAUCAAAAUAUCUAGAUUAAUAUCUAUGUAGAUCUAGAUUCUAGCAGGAAGAAUUUCUAUGUCCUUUCUAGAUCCUUUACUCACCUUCUAAGUUUUGUAUUUCUCUCUGAGAUCAUUUUCACCAAGAAAUAGAAAACAGAAAAAAGGACGAGAAUAAUAAAACAGAAGCCCUUGGCUGGACAGUCUCGGACAGAAAGAAUUUAAAUGGCAAAACAGGUGUACAGAGCACGCAGGGGUGAGGAUGCUUACGUGUGGAGUGUGUGUGCGCCUGUGGAUGAGGCACGCCGGGCCCCGACGACAAAACCUCCAGGCUGAGCCAGGAUGCUGUGUUCUAAGCUCCUCAACGUAGCUGGCUCUGCCUGCGUUUUCCCUCAGGAGACACAGCCGACACACAGCGACACUCGGAAACAAUUCCCAACGGAGACACCAGGUUCCUAGCUAACCUCCCGCAAGCACACCUGGAUGUGUCUGCAAGGUGACAGACAGCGGGGGCUCGUGCAGGACCGCUCUGCCACGGGGCGGGAGGGAGCCCUGUCCUCCCUGGGGGAGUGCUGAGCAGGGACUAGGCUUGCACGGCCCGGCGCCGGCCCCCCCCCCCUGUGCCUUGUCCAACAGAGAGUGGGGGUGCGGUGCUGUCUCGCUGGCCCUGCAGCUUCCAGUCGUGGUCUGUGCUAAUUCCCAUCACCUGGAAAGCUGGCAGAGACCCACAAGUACCAGCUUGUGCAAGGCUGACGGUCUGUGUGUCCACAGUGACGACUGGGAAAGUGGCCUAUCACCCAAGUAUGGCCUACGGCCUGCUAGAGCUCAGCCACACCGCCCAUCUACGGUUUAUCAACUGAGGGCAGGACGGCCCAGAGGGGAGACGCGGAGGCCCUUUUACCCUGGCAGAGAAGGCAAGCCGAGGAAGAUCCGUCCCCUCCAGACGCAGAGCAGUAACUCCACUCUGGGCUCAGAAAGCCAGAGCUGGGGCCAUGUCUGCCUACCUGGAAC